CUGAUUCCCCCAUCUGCAGCAGGUGUCCGGUUGUCUUCAUUCUCCGCCAGCCUGGAUCCGCUCCAGGCCAAACUGGAACGGGUGGGAGGACAUCGGCCGUGGUCUGAGUGAACGGAGUUUGGACAAAAGCUGUGUGCACACAAAAACAAGUUGGGAUUCUGUGUGUGUAUGUGUGCUGGAGAAAAAAAAAAAAAAAAAGGAAAAGGGUCUCUCUCUGUCUCUGUGAGAGGAAAAAGGUGGGGGCCGAGUGAGCCCGCGGGGCCGAGCGGGUCCGCGGGAGCGAGCGUGUAUGCUGUAUGAGGAAGAAGGGAGUGAGAGGGAGCGAGUGAAAAGAGUAAUCGAGUAUUUGGUGAUUUUUUAUUAUUUCAGAGGCACUGGGUAAGAGUUUUGACUUUAGCUGUGAGAGUUGUGAAAAGAGCAGGUUUUUCUUUUGUUGUAGACUGUGAGUAAUCGGUGUUUUUCUGCCUAUUGUGCUGCGUGGAAGACACAGAAGUGUAGAAAUGUUUGUGGUUUAUCUUUGUUUGACGUUUUAUAUAGAGUUGGUUGAUUCAGGGUGAUUUCUCCCGUUUAAGGGAGGAGUUGCAUUGUGGUUAUGUUAAAGCUUUGCUGUAGGGGUAUGUGUGUGAUUUUGUGCUGGCUUCGCAUGUUUAAAUGGAUGCAUAGAAGUUUGUCAGUGAGAAAUUGUUAUGGUGGGGUUUUAAAGUUAGUAAAGAGUCAAACAACGCCCACUGUUUUAAAAAGGCCCAAAACAUCAUAAAAGACACCUCACAUCCUGGCCACUCCCUGUUCGAACUGUUGCCCUAAGGCAGACGGUACAGGGCAAUCAGAGCAAGGACUAAUAGACUCAAACACAGCUGUUAUCCAACUGCAAUAACACAUCUGAAUACUACAAAAAUGUCCACCAUGCCACUCUUGUGUUAAUCUAUGCACGGUCUGAAGCAUGACGGUGGGAAUACUUAGUAUUUUAAGUAUUCUAUCUAUUUUAUUGAUUGAAUUUUAUUGUUUUUUUAUAUUUGAUAUUACUAGGGAUGAUGCAAUGAUCAGGGACCAUUCUUAAUGUCGUCGGUCUCAUGACAAUGACAAUAAAGUUUUUGAUUUUGAUUCUGAUUCUGAAAUACACCCCCCUCAAGAGUUCAAUGAUUUAGGCAGUUAUGUUUAUACAAAUACUAAAUGUAUGUUUAGUGUCUUCAUACAGGUGUUUUUUCUUAACCUGGAAGCCUGAGUACGGCAGCAGAAGACAGGCCAAGCUUUGGCUAAAAUUCACGGCUGGACACCAGAGUUGUCCUCACCCCUCCCGGUAAAACAAAAAAGAGAGAAUGUAGUUUGAGGCGGGUUUUUCUCGCUGACCUGCUCUGGGUGCUGUGUCCCUGAAUCUCACCAGUGUUAACCUCUGGCGGAAGACAUGGAGAAAAGGAAAAGAUGUUCCUGGUAAAUCACUGAAACAAAUAAAACCACACACAACCAGAGAAAGAUAUGAGAAGGGUGAGGAACAGACACAUGUGCGUGUUAGAGAAAUGCCUCGUUUGAGAAAAAGUUAAAGUAACCCAUAUACAGACGCACCCAUACAUGCAAUGAAGAAACAGCUUACAUACAUGUGCACGUACAUGCAAGGUUAAAGUAGCGACACUUAACAUACACCUGUUUUUAAAUGAUAUAGUUCAUACAUUACUGACAAUUAAACGCUUUGGGUUGCAGGACAACAACGUAACGUCAAAAGACAAAGACACUGGUCUGAGGAUUAAGUGAGGACACGACAAAUUUAGUGGUUAAAAGGGUCGACUUGGGACAUGUUUUUGUUGAUUGUUUAAGACAAAUGACUACUGAAUGAUAGGAAAUUCCUUUUUAGGUUUCUAAACAGGAUCUUAAGAAUUUUAACACGUACCUGUGUUGUCCUGUCAACUUGAGGGGUUAUGAGUUGAUUAUAUGGAGAAAAAAAAAAAAAAAAAAAAACAAAAACAAAAAAGGGGGGAGACGAGAUCUCGUUGUUUCUCCCCUCUCGGGAUAACACAGCCAACACAGCACAGCCAACACAACAUCAUUUUCCUGUUCGCCUGUUUUGUUUUGUUUUUGUUUUUUCUGAGAGCCGAAGCUGACCUGGACUCCUACCCUCCCCUCUACCAUCGUUGCCCUCUCCGCGACCAUCUUUGACCCUUUGACCCCUGAAGGCCACAGCAGCUGGACUCACAACAACAACUUGAGGAUGUCAACAGUGCUGCAAAAGAGUGAUCUCAUGCAGCAGAGACGGAGAGCACUAAACCUAAAGCCCGUUUCACUACACGGGGGAAAUUCCCAGGCUGCGUCAGCUGACAGAGCUGUGACGAGACGCGCAUUAAGCCCGGAGGAAAAGGGACGGUGAGCAGAAGGAUGCUGACCUCUGAGAAGAGCCGAACAGCAGAGCUGCAGAAGGCCGUGGAGCAAAGUAAGGAAGAUGCAGGCAGCUGCAACAACGGAUGAAAACAGACCCAAAGAGGAGGGGAGGACCCUAGGCCAUGCGUCAGGCCGCUGGUUUACCUAAACUACAGAACAGGAAGGUGAUGAACACAAACAUAUACCAACACACGAACACACACUUCUGCAUGCGCCUACUUAGAAUGAAGGGAAACACACACAUGAACACUUAUGCACUUGUUGAGG
ensembl:lncRNA